AACGUAGGAGGCAAGCGUUAUCCGGAGUUACUGGGCGUAAAGCGUGCGUAGGCGGAUGAGUAAGUGGGUGGUGAAAGCGCCCGGCUAAACCGGGCGAGGUCCAUUCAGACUGCUUGUCUAGAGGCGGAUAGAGGGGUGCGGAAUUCCGGGUGUAGCGGUGAAAUGUGUAGAGAUCCGGAGGAACACCAGUGGUGCAAACGGCGCCUGGGUCCGAACUGACGCGUGAUGCGCGAAAGCCAGGGGAGCGAACGGG
rnacentral:rRNA from 1 species